CGGGCCGGGCUGCGCGUCCCCCCUCGCCCCUCGUCGCCCCCGCUUACCUGCGCGCGGCGUCCCGGGCUCCGCGGCGCGCCCGCAGCGGCGGAGGGGAGAGAGGCGACUCCCCCCCGGGGGGGGGGGGGAGGGAAGGGCCAGGAGCCCCCCUGCACCCCAGAGAGAUCCGGCGAGAGGAAGAGAGAGGGAGGGGGAGAUGGAAAGCCUCCCCCCCCCCUCCCUUUCUCUCCCCGUUUGAGCCGAAGUGACCCGCAGUAUCUGGAGAAGGUUUUUGAAGACGUUUGGGAGGGAGGGAGAGAGUUUUCUGCUGAGAAACUCAAUCUGCCAUACAGUAGCGGCUGCAUCUGGGAUCUGUCACUGCUGACAGCACCACAGGGCACAGACAUGAUCUUCCGCACAACGCUGCAACUCCCCAAAAUACCCUCCUCGCUCCCAGGGUGUCCGCCGGGUUGCAUCGCACUCCUUCGCCAAAAGGGGGAAAGCAACCUGAAUCCCGAGCAAACAGACACACCGAGAGAAAGGCAAGGGAGAGACCCCCCCCCCCUUCUUCGCCACAAUUUUAAACACACCAGCGCCGAGGAAAGAGGGCGAAAGGCGAUGUCAUAUUCUGAUGGUGCAAAGGCCAUAAAUAUCACGUUGUCUCAGUGGCAUCUCCCGGCCGUGUUUAUGUCCUUACAGCUGCCCGCGGAUGUCUCGGCGCUUGUUCUAGUGGUGUCUGCGGCUUGGACCGAAAGGCCCCGUUUCACCUCUGUGACAACGACAGCAAAUUAGCUAUAAUUAUUACAAUAAUAUCUUCAAGCAGAGAAGAGCUCCUGAGAGUGAACGAGUGAAAAAAUAAGUUAAUUAAAAAACCCCGGGUAUUCAGCUUAUCUCCCUGGCCGCAGGAAUGCAGGCAUCCCGUGCACGCCCGACAGCGCGGCGGGCUCGUAAAACAGCCGCGCACGACGGCAGGACCGGCUCCCGCCGCCCGGGGAGCGCGGCUGGCCCCGCGCAGCCCUACGCGCCUCCCCGCGGAGGUGUCAGGGCCUUGCCCUUUACCUCCAUCGCUGCCAAAAGCGUGGGGGAACAUGGAAAAAAAAAAUAAAAACACGCUGCUUUCUGCCUCACACGGGUGCCCUCGAGGUCCCCCGGGGCAGGGGUGCUAGGCCCCGCUCCGCGCCACUCCGCGCCCCGCGCAGCUUGCCGUGCACAGCGAGAUGCGCCCCGGGGAGCAGAGGGGAGGCGACCGGUCCGGGGGCACGCAAACCGAGGAAGUUCUGUUGUUUUCUCCUCAAGGAGAAAAAAAAAUAAAAAAGA